AGAUUGAACGCUGGCGGCGUGCCUAACUCAUGCAAGUCGAGCGGUAACAGGUGUAGCAAUACAUGCUGACGAGCGGCGAACGGGUGAGUAAUGCUUCGGAAUCUGCCCAUGUAGUGGGAAUAACUAGCCGAAAGGUUAGCUAAUACCGCAUACGACCGUACGGGUGAAAGCGAGGGAUCGCAA
rnacentral:rRNA from 1 species